UACGUAGGGACCGAGCGUUGUCCGGAAUCAUUGGGCGUAAAGAGCGUGUAGGCGGCUUGUUAAGUCUUGCGUGAAAUCUCGGGGCUCAACCCCGAGCGGUCGUGAGAAACUGGCAGGCUAGAGUGCGGGAGAGGAUGGUGGAAUUCCCGGUGUAGCGGUGAAAUGCGUAGAGAUCGGGAGGAACAUCAGUGGCGAAGGCGGCCAUCUGGGACAACACUGACGCUGAGGCACGAAAGCGUGGGGAGCAAACAGG
rnacentral:rRNA from 1 species